rnacentral:rRNA from 1 species
AUGAUCUACCGGAGCUGGUCGCUGCUCUCGUCGACGGUGGCGAUCUGGGGCGGUGCCGCCGCCGCAGGGCUCGCCGUCGUCUCCCUCUCUGGCGGCAAGAGCGAUCCAUCCACGGCCCUAUUGGGAUUCCUCCGCUCCGAAAGGAAGCGGAAGCUUCGCGUUGGCCCCCAAGCACUGACUAAAUGGUUAGCCAUUGUGAUAGCACCAGGCAAGAUGGAAAAGUUUCAGGACUACCUGUGCCGCGAAGGCGAUAGGCUGAGGCGGCAGGACAGGGCCACCAUGGCCAGCGCCAACUAA